rnacentral:rRNA from 1 species
UACGGAGGGUGCAAGCGUUAAUCGGAAUUACUGGGCGUAAAGCGUGCGCAGGCGGUUUGUUAAGUCUGUUGUGAAAUCCCCGAGCUCAACUUGGGAAUUGCAAUGGAUACUGGCAGGCUGGAGUAUGGUAGAGGAAGGUGGAAUUCCACGUGUAGCAGUGAAAUGCGUAGAGAUGUGGAGGAAUACCGAUGGCGAAGGCAGCCCCCUGGGAUGAUACUGACGCUCAUGCACGAAAGCGUGGGGAGCAAACAGG